rnacentral:rRNA from 1 species
ACUCCUACGGGAGGCAGCAGUGGGGAAUAUUGCACAAUGGGCGCAAGCCUGAUGCAGCCAUGCCGCGUGUGUGAAGAAGGCCUUCGGGUUGUAAAGCACUUUCAGUCGUGAGGAAGGUAGUGUAGUUAAUAGCUUAGCUGACUUUUUAACGUUAGCGACAGAAGAAGCACCGGCUAACUCCGUGCCAGCAGCCGCGGUAAUACGG